ACCCUUACGAUCACCGAAGUUAAACAACGUUACGCCUGGUCAGUAUCUGGAUGGGUGACCACUUGGAAAUACCAGGCGCUGUUA